GUAGGAGCCGGCUUGCUGGCGAUAGCUUCCGAUCGGUCGAUAAACCCGUCGAUUGACCCAUCGCAAUCGCCAGCAAGCCGGCUCCUAC
rnacentral:misc_RNA from 1 species